rnacentral:rRNA from 1 species
UACAGAGGGGGCAAGCGUUAUUCGGAAUUAUUGGGCGUAAAGGGCGCGUAGGCGGCCUGGCAAGUGGAAGGUGAAAUCCCACGGCUUAACCGAGGAACUGCCCUCCAAACUGCUUGGCUUGAGUCCGGGAGAGGUGAGUGGAAUUCCCAGUGUAGCGGUGAAAUGCGUAGAUAUUGGGAGGAACACCAGUGGCGAAGGCGGCUCACUGGACCGGUACUGACGCUGAUGCGCGAAAGCGUGGGGAGCAAACGGG